AAGAGUAGCUCCAGUACAAUGAUUUCAGAGAAUUUGUAUGGUCAAUAUUUCCAGGUAUUCCUUUUUUAAAAAAGAAUAGUAUGGGUUAGGCUAGGGUAAGUGCUUAACAGUGUUUCUAAAAAGCCAGUACAUUUAAGAUCUAGUUACAUAAACUACUCAAUAUGAAGUUGUUCUAAUAAAGUUUUCCAGAGGGUGGCAGUUCAGUGUAGUACUCUAAGUACAGCUUUAGCCUCAGAUACAAUACAGAUGCAUAUUUCAGUAACUGAAGCUAGGCUCCUGGCAGGUAUUUUGAAUAAAACACCAGAAGUCCUAUCUCGUGAUGCAGCGUAGAUAUCAUGCAGAUGAUGCUUAUUUCAGGCAGAGCACCUGCAUGACUCCAGAAGGUCAAGCACCAGGCUGGUACCCAAGGAGGGAGUGGUACCACCUACAGAAGCACCUCCAGACUCUUGUCCCAUCAGGUCCUGACCCAACAUCCUUUUGGAGAAAUGCUUAAAUCCAGUUAUUUCAGCAGGAUCUUGUGUGUGCAAAUGCUGAUGGCAGAAGGUCCGUGGCAACCUAGAAAAUCCUGCUUGUCAUCCCAGCUUGAAUGGAGUUCUGUGGAAGGCUGGCAGAGCAUUUGUCACCAUUCCCCUCCAAACUUGCAGAGGCUUGCUACAAGGCAGCAGUAGCGACUGAGCUCCUCCAAAAAGGUCAGACAUCUUUUGCAAUAGCAAAUACUAACUGAGCUGAAUACACAGCUCCUCACAACCUGCACAUACAAGUCCAGUUUGCUCUCCUACCAGCUUUACUGCUGAACUAAGUCAUGGCAAAACGCAGGGAAACUUGUUCAGGAGAAGAAUGAUUUUGGUAUGCUUAGAAAUUCGGUAAACUUAGUCUUCUCUGAGGAUAAACGAUGGCUUUAAGAAGUGAGUGGAAUGUUUAAAAGCAUCCUGUCUGAUCCACUGUCACUAAUUACAUCAUACUGAGCAUCAAUAAUUGACAACUAUUUGUUCUUGAAUCCUGUUUAGAGCUUUCCUUUCUUA
rnacentral:lncRNA from 1 species